UACGUAGGGGGCAAGCGUUGUCCGGAUUUAUUGGGCGUAAAGAGCGUGUAGGCGGUUUGGUAGGUCCGUUGUGAAAACUCGAGGCUCAACCUCGAGACGCCGGCGGAAACCAUCAGGCUAGAGUCCGGAAGAGGAGAGUGGAAUUCCUGGUAUAGCGGUGAAAUGCGCAGAUAUCAGGAAGAACACCCGUGGCUAAGGCGGCUCUCUAGUACGGUACUGACGCUGAGACGCGAAAGCGUGGGGAGCGAACAGG
rnacentral:rRNA from 1 species